GAGAUUUUAAUACAGCCGAGGGUCCAUCUACCUCCACACAGAAUCUUAGCAGUUUGCCUGCCAAAGAGCUGUAUAAGGUCCACCUUCAAAAGCAAAUAAGAAAAGGUGACAGGAGAUGGACCUUAUACAGCUUCAAAUGGAGGAGAAAAGGCUUAACCUAAAAAAGGCCAGACUUGAAAUUGAAUUGCUGGAGCACCAGCUUAAGG